AGUGAGUGGCGGACGGGUGAGUAACACGUGGGUAACCUGCCCUAAAGUGGGGGAUAACAUUUGGAAACAGAUGCUAAUACCGCAUAAAACCUAACACCGCAUGGUGUAGGGUUGAAAGAUGGUUUCGGCUAUCACUUUAGGAUGGACCCGCGGUGCAUUAGUUAGUUGGUGAGGUAAAGGCUCACCAAGACCGUGAUGCAUAGCCGACCUGAGAGGGUAAUCGGCCACACUGGGACUGAGACACGGCCCAGACUCCUACGGGAGGCAGCAGUAGGGAAUCUUCCACAAUGGACGAAAGUCUGAUGGAGCAACGCCGCGUGAGUGAAGAAGGUUUUCGGAUCGUAAAACUCUGUUGUUGGAGAAGAAUGUAUCUGAUAGUAACUGAUCAGGUAGUGACGGUAUCCAACCAGAAAGCCACGGCUAACUACGUGCCAGCAGCCGCGGUAAUAC
rnacentral:rRNA from 1 species